rfam:Gossypium arboreum cultivar AKA8401 contig_23801_3, whole genome shotgun sequence.
AGCCUAUGGUGAGGGCAUUUUCUCAAGAGGUCCUUGUAUCUCUCUCAUGCAUCAUAGAUUGUCUCUAGAUCCAUCUACACAAAAGAAGAGAUAUCAUUCCUCAAUUU